AAUCGUUAGCCAAUGGUUGGUUGAUCGCUGUCCGAUGAUUUGUGCUUUUGAUUGUUUGAUGGCGUUUCUCUCUUUAU
rfam:Chlorobium phaeobacteroides BS1, complete genome.